GAGAGAGAGAGAGAGAGAGAGAGAGAGAGUAAAGCAAUCAAAGAAGGAAAACAGAAACUUACAUUAACACCAGAAGAAAAGAAGGAAAAAAAGAUUUAAAAAAAAAAAUCUAUAGAAAUAAAAAAAAAGAAUAAGAAACACCAGUGGCGAAGGAAGAAAGUGUAAAAGUCGAGAAGGAAAAAAAAAACAUACACUCACAAAAACACACUUGUACAUAAAGAGAAAACGGAUAUAAAAGAUGAUUGAUAAUGUGUUCGUGUGGCGACUUCAAUGCGGCAGCAAGACGGCAUCUGUGUUCGAGGAGAGUCGGCGGCGCCCACGGUUCACCUACCACCCACACCCUCACCCCACCGCCGCACACCUGCACCCAUCACCACUACACCGCACCACUUAGACAUCACCAUCACACCGCACUCCACCAAAUAGCACCACACUGUUUGCAUCACAAUACUCCGUGCCUAGAAUUGUUCCAUGUGACCAUCUCAUCCCGAGUCCAAACGUUGUAGUAAUGACUCGGCUCUUAACAUCCGAGUUCAUUAUUCAUUGGUGCGUUUAUGUAUGCAAGAUUGUUACUGCCCUUGCUACACUAUUGCCAUCACUGCAUCACUGCCUUUACUUACGAUCACCGCUGGCUUCUCCAUCCACUCAUCCAUCCCUGCACGUCAACAUAGCAAUUCAUUUCCCUCCUCCCCCCUUUCUCCCUCUCUUUCUUUAGCCUCGCCCUUGUCAUCAGCACCACCAUAUUCACACAACACUCACUGUACGUGCUCCAACUUUCCAGGCCAGAAUACGUGCCUUAUAGCAGAACGAGAGAUAAAGAGAGAGACCGAAAGAAAGUAAGUUAGUGUGAGUGCGGCUCAAUCUACCUCAGCACACUCCUUAUACCAAAGAACACCUGUCCAUAUACACACACCUGACCAACAGCAGGUGUGCGUGUGCAGUGAUAAACUCCUCUCAGGUAUUGUCGACGGCAACGAAACCUUGACUCACGUUUUGCAAUUCAAUCUUCCUUUUUCUCGUGGGAUUGGUGAAAAAAAAAUAAUAAUAAAUAGUCCGGUUAUGGUGAGGAAGAAAUUGGUGAAGUUUGCUGAGGAAAGUGAAAUGUUCCUAGUGAUUUACGAGUGAUGACAUGUCCGGGAGUAUACUAGUGUGAUGGUGCACAGUGAAGAACGAGUUUGCUGUGGCGGUGCGUGGCUGUGGGUGAGGAGCAGUAAUUGUGGUGCAGGCGGAGGUGGUGGUAGAAGUGUUGAUAGUGGUGGUUGUGGUGGUGGUAGUAGUAACAAAGUAUAAAAUGAGUGUAUAGUAACAGAGACGAGUGUAUACUACUACUACUACUACUACUACUGCUACUACUACUACUACAAAAUGCCACUGUGGUGUGAUGAAGGUGGCAUUUCCCGUCCUGUUGUGGCCUUGUGUGGUACUAACAAGUGAAGAAGAAAGAUACCACGACCUCCCCCACCACACCACCACACCACACCACCACAUGCUCUGACGCCCCUGUAGUGCGUGGAAGCUUCUCAAGACACUACAAAAACGACCAAAGAAUAAUGAAAACCAAGGAAUAACCAGAGAAGCACCACCAUUACCACCAACCACAACCAAUACCACCUGCCACUACCAUCAUCAUGUCCCUGCAUCUCACCUCCCCUAACAACAUCAGUGCAGUGAGAAAUGAUACCAGUAAUCUGCUCAUGUGCAAUAAGUGGUGGCGCGUUUGCUUCACGUACGGCGACCAGUACAAGCAAUACCGCCAUCUUUACUCCAAAAAGACGCGACUGGCCACGCUCAGGAAAGAGGAGGACAAAGGGAGUGAGAACAAGGAUGAGAAGAAGAAAGAGGCAGCGCUCCAGAGUCAAGAUGGGAUUGGGAAAGACGACAAGUGCUGUCAUCUGUGGGACAAUGGGAAAGUGUGUCGAAACUGCAAGUGUUCGAGAGAGGAUCACUGUGGCGGGGAAAUGACCACCACCACCCCUACCACCACAACCACAGCUUCAACCACAACCUCCACCACCACACCCUCAUCCACCACAGCCGCCACCACGCCCACUGCUCUGCCGCCUCUGCCGCAUCUAGACGCCCACGCCCCGCCCAGGAAGGCUGCGGGUGUGCUAGGCGGCUUGGUGGUGGGAUCAGACCCGCAGCGACACAGCCACAGCGAUGAUGACUCCGGCUGUGCCCUCGAGGAGUACACCUGGGUACCGCCUGGUCUCAAGCCCGAGCAGGUGCAUCUGUACUUCUCAGCGCUUGCGGAGGACAAAGUGCCUUACGUCAACUCAGUGGGCGAGAAGUACAGAAUACGACAGCUUCUGCAUCAGCUGCCUCCCCACGACAAUGAGGUCAGGUACUGCAACGGCCUCAGCGACGAGGAGAAGAAGGAGCUGCGUCUGUUCUCGGCGCAGCGUAAACGGGAGUCCCUUGGUCGAGGCUCAGUCAAACAGCUACCAGUAAACCUCCAUUCCAGCAUGACCUGCGCUAAUUGCGGCGAGGGCGUGGGCGGCGGCGACAUCGUGGUGGUGGCGGCGCGUGCUGGACCUAACGCGUGCUGGCACCCGGCGUGCUUCAAUUGCCACGUGUGUCGUGAACUGCUGGUGGAUCUCAUCUACUUCUGGAAGGACACCCACCUGUACUGCGGCAGACACCACGCCGAGACCCUCAAGCCACGCUGCGCCGCCUGUGAUGAGAUCAUCUUGGCGGACGAGUGCACGGAGGCUGAGGGGCGCGCUUGGCACAUGAAACACUUCGCCUGCUUCGAGUGUGACCGGCAGUUGGGCGGACAACGAUACAUCAUGCGUGACGGCCGUCCCUUCUGCCUGCACUGCUUCGAUGCCAUGUUCGCCGAGUACUGCGACACCUGCGGGGAUCCCAUCGGCGUUGACCAGGGUCAGAUGACCCACGAAGGUCAGCACUGGCACGCCACAGAAGCCUGUUUCUGUUGCCACACGUGCCGCGCCUCGCUGCUAGGGCGGCCAUUCUUACCCCGCCGCGGUGCCAUCUUCUGUUCCAUUGCCUGUAGUAAGGGAGAACCGCCCACGCCCUCAGAUAGUACUGCUAACACGCCCGUGGCACCGACUGCACCGCCCCUCCGCCCCUCCGACACGGGUCGACGGGCUUCUCUCAGCUACGACGCUUCGGAUUCUACUCUCACCUCAGCGACUUCACCCCGCGGGGGAAGGGGUCCGCGGCCACCGGGGCAGGACUCAUCCGACCUGAGUGACGGGGCUUCCCCACAACCUACACGCCGUGCCACAGCACCGACACAGGCCUUGGCACCAAAUGCCUCCAGUGGAUCCCGCUCUCCUCAGCCCCAUCGCCAGGGCACUGCCUCUCCUAUUUCAGAACCCCCUGCUGGCACCCCAGAAUCCUCUGGACCGCGCUCCCCUCGCCUUAGCCGUCGAGCUUCCAACGCCUCAGGUCCCACUGGACGCUUAACGCGUGAGGAUUCUUUUCAAGUAAGGCCUCGUGGCCAGCCCGUGUCAAGAGAGCCCUCACUCUGUGGUCCUCACGGGGGACAACCUCCAGGUGUCCCUUCUCCACCGAUCCCGGGCAGCCCUCGUUGUGCACCUCAUAGCGAUGCCUCGCCUCAUUCCCGACCUGCCAGUGAGGGUGUGGCCUCUCCCGCCUCGCCUCGCUCUCCCCGUCCCCCAAGACACCCUCUUGAGUCACCGCGCGGCCUCUCUGACCCUGGCUCAUCUCGCGUUCCCUCGGAGGUGAGUGGUUCACGUGCCGCCUCUGAGAUGGGCUCUCCUCGUCCGGGUCACCGUACGCUCUCGGCCAUGGGCAGUGGAGAGGAAGGGCGUGGACCUUUAGUGCGCUCUCCUCGCAUGGGUCGCAAGGCUCUGCAGCACUCACCCCGCGGUGGCCGCAGGGCCGAAGCGGGUACAGUGUCCUCGUCCUGUCAAACAUCACCACCGUCGCCACCUGCAUCGCCACCGCAGCAACCGGCCACUUCCACUCCCGCGAGCGACGGUGAGGCAGGGCUUGACCGCAUAGUGUUAGAGCGGUCCCUAAGUCGCCUUUUGGCUCAAAGAGGACUAACGCUGUUGCGGGAGGCGGCUGCCGGCGGAGCGGGAGGUCUGGAGGCGCUACUGCAGACACCAGAGGAUCUGUCAGGGCCCGCACGUCGACAGCCUCUCGAUCUAUCAGCACUGUCCGAUCUCAACUUGGAGGCACUAUUGGCGCCUGGGGAAGCCCCUGCUCAUGCUUCCAUGCCAGAUCUGAGUCAACAAGGUGAAUCCUCAGCCUCUUCGUCCCCUGCAAACACACCCACUCCUGGCCCGCCCCGGAAGAGCUCCCUUUCCUCCCGCCACAAGGAUCGACACAAUCGUUCCGUCAGAUUUGACCCUGCCCAGGUAGGAGGCGAUGCCCCUGCCCGUGCUUCUCACGAUGCCCGUGGUUCUUCUUCUUCCUCCUCUUCUUCGGGAUCGGCACCUACUGCCCUCGAGGUACCACCUGCGGAUGGAGCAGAAUGUCAACGUCGCGGACGACGCCACCGAUCGCGCAGCUCCAAUGGCUUCCCACGCUCUCGUUCUUACUCAGGCACUGCCGUAGACGAGGGUGGUUCCGGAAGCGCUGCGCCUCGGAAGGCUCCCUCAGCGCCCGGUUUGGAGGCCGCCCCUUGGGACACCGAAUCCGUCUGCUCCACUUGUUCGUCUUCUUCUUCAGAUGAGUUCGAUUACGAGCUACCGCCGCGCCGUGCCUAUGGCGGGGUGCGCAUCAGUUAUGUGCCCAACGACGCGCUUGCCUAUGCGCGGCGCCAAGCGGGCCAGGCUCAAGGAGGAGCGACAGGUCCCAGCUCUCCCUCACCCCGUCGCAAAGGUGGCGAUAAGGACAAAAACUGUAUUAUAUCUUGAUGACCUCCGCGCCCCAUCCCCUUCGCGGCCUCCCCACCAACUCUUGGCCGCUGCCAAGUGCGCUUAUUGUGUGUGUGUGUGUGUGUAUGUGUGUGAAUAUCCAGAGCCUCUAGCCCCUGCCCCUUAAUUACUGUCUACCUCGCGGCCUGACGACGCUCUCCCUGAGAGAGUGUCCGCACAGGCCACGCAUUGUCCCGCCUGCCUGACACAACAUUAACGAAAACAAGUAACGUGUUCAAGGAAGCCGAAGAGAGUGCCAAGAAUAUUGUCUUCCAGGCCCAGUGUGUAUGUGGGCGUGUGUGAGCAUGAGUGAGUGCGGCGAAGGGCAACUGCCAGCUCUCUCCACACACUCAUCAUCGGCGUGUGUUACGGGUUGUCUAUAUCGUGAUUCGUGAUUUUCUGUUAUAAUGUUCAAGGUAUCCUUAUCGAUUUGCUCCACGAAGUAUUAAUGUAAAGUUAUAAACAUGUGACUUUUGUUGUAAUACCUUAAUUCUUGUAUGUACGUAGUCUCUUAAAAAUAGUUCAAGAAGUUUCAAUACUCAAACAUUAUCGUUUAAGCUAGGUUUAUUAUUAUUUUUUUCUGAGUUUGUUUUCAAUUUAUUUUGGUGUAUAUGAUGAAGAGAGCCGUUUUGUGCCUGGUGCUUGUGGUAUGUUGAAGAUCUCCAGACCCUCUGGUGAGCGAGUGGCGAAACUCCUACUAAUCAUUUCCGUGUCCCUUCACGUUCCACUUUUUUGGCUUUCACUCCUUCCAUUCCACCAAGACCUUUCCCUGUCCCCUGGUUCACUGUCCUCGCACUGGCUAUCCAGCUCAUACAGUUCAAAGAUGUGUGGAGGUGAGUGUUGUGCGACCGUGUACUUGUGUACUUGUGUGGCAGCAGGUGUAUCUUAGUGAUGGAACGCAAGCACCACGCGUGUUCAGCCUUCGCUCUGGAGUGGUGCAGUCUAGAUAUUAUUUUGGUAAAGAUCAUGUACAUUAGCAGCCGGUGUGCCAGCCUCAGAGAUAAACUAAGGGAAGUAAGAAUUGUGUGAGUCGGGGUGUGGACAGCAUGGAGGGGACUGGACUUCUCCCUUCUGGAAACUGUGGACUCCUUGGUGACAUUUUAUGCUUCCUGAACCACUUGCAAGUUAGUCAAACCUUUGUGGAUGUUUUAAGUCUGUCAGGAUUAUGGUUUUCUUUCUGAAUUUCUCUUGAGUGUGGUGCUUUGGGAAGUCUACAAAGUCUUUCUGGAGAGGACAGAAGUAAUGGAAGAAAGAAGAGAGAAAACAAAGAAGUCUUCAUUUUCAGAAUCUAGAUUUUGGUGGAGAAACAAGAGAUCAAGGAUAAAGAAACAAAGCAGAGUUAGGUGCCACGCAUGGAAAAAAAAAAAAUUCUACAAAUGCUAAUUCACAAACUCAGGGUUUGCCCUAUGCAAAUGCUAAUCUGCAAACCCUUUAAAAUGUUUAAUUCUGCAAAUGCAAACAAAUAAUUUAUAUAUUUCAGUAUCAUGACAUCAAUUUAUUUUAUUGUGGAUACCAUUAGACAACAGAGGAAGAAAUAGGAAAAUAAAAGAAAAUUGUUUUGGCAAGAUUUGGCUGAUCAAACAGAGCAGGAAGUAUCAUAAUGGUUUGGAUGUGCAGAGUGGAAGGACAGUGUUUAGCUUGAGGAAAAAGGAAAAAUGUUUACACAUGAUAUGGGUCAGUGGAAAACAGUUGCAGCUGCAUACAUGUGAUGCAUUUUCUAAGGUCUGCCUGUAUCUAGUCCAAUUUGUUAAUCUUAUUAGGUAAAGGAAAGGGGAUGGGGUUACUGGGAUAAACCAGUCAUGCUAUCAGACUCUAAUGUGAAGAAAUCCAGGUAUGCCUGUGAAACUUACCCAUGUGCAAGGAUGGUUAAUGAUGUGCGUGUGUGAGCAAACACUGUUUCAAAUAUUCAUUCAUCCUUGUGGGAAUUUCAGUCUAAUAUAUUGUAGAUAGACUGAAUGGGAUAUACAUACAUGAAGUUGAAGUAAAAUGUAGACUUUAAAUAUUAAAAUAGUAUAUUACUCUAAUAAUAAAUAAAAAUAAAUAGGAAAAAAAAGAUAAGUUUGCAUUUGCAGAAGUAUGUAACUCCAUGAACACAACAACUGCAAAUUUGCACGGAAUUUGCAGCAAACAUAUAUAACUUUACCAAAUAGAUCACACAUACUCAAUUGUGUAAUUUCUGUUUUACUUAAGUGGCCAGUUCUGGAAGUAAUUUUAUGAAAAAAAACUUUAAGUGAUGUUUGUUAGUAUACGGUCAAGUUUCUUUCAAUGUUCAGAAAAGCUUUGAUAUGAUCUAGCUUACCACUUGAUAGUUUUCUGCAGUAUAAUCAAAGUCUGCAUCCUUGUUGUAAACAUUUUCUUCAAUGGGGUGGAAUGCACUGAUAUUGUAUGUCCUAUCCUGUUGUUUGCCUAGGACACAAUGUGACUGUCUGGAUUUGGUGUUCCAUUGCCAGGACAUCACUUGAUGGUUUAAAUGUGCUGUUCACAAAAAGUUUUGGUGGAGCAUAUUUCUGUAAAGUUUGGAUUACCUGAGAACUUUGUCCACAGUUUUUAUGCUGGAUGCUGUACACCAUAUUGUAAUUGCCAUUAACCCUUAAAGGACGGGGAAAUUUGUCGUGGAUGUCCCUCACAGCUGGGCUAUUUUUGACAAUUCAGCAAAAAUAGGUAAUUUUCCAUCACCAAUUUGUCAGCUCUCCCUUGACUGAUUGCUCAAAAUAUAAUAGCAUCACACAUCAAUUCUUCCUCUUCAGUCUGCUGCAAACCUGAACUUUCUAGGUGAUGUGGUGUCUCUGGUGAAGUGAUGAAAUGAAGUAACGUUCAGGGCUUUCUCAGCCUGUGUUCAGAUGGUUGUAUGCUGUGCAGUGGCCCCAGUUGGGAGGUCCUCAGCCUCCUUUAUCUGCUUGCCUCACCAGCAUCUCUCAAUCAUUCAGUCACACAAAUGCCUAAGUCUAUCAUUUUUGUAGGCACUAAAGGAAAUGGCAUUGGUGUCGGUUACUUAUAAACAUGCAAGAAAAAGUAUUGUAAUUGUCACGGCUGGGAAGAUGUGCAUGAGCAAAACACGGUCUACUGGUGUUUUAUUUUUUUUUCCAGUAAAACAACUUUCAAGGCUUAAGAGAGUAACUUCUAUCUCUCUCCCAAUAGCACUUUCACUAAGGUUGUUUUGAAGCAAAUCUUCCCUUAUGUGGAGUAGAAGUCACUGGCUGCUUACCCUUGUCCAAGGAAUCAGAGGAAGAGGAAUGAUUAUUUCCCCCUGUAGCUAUCGCUAUGGUUUACAGGACACUGAGGCUCAGAGGAAGGCAUCAUUAUGAGGCAAGUAUGUUCGCAGGCCCAAAAAUUCACACAAAUUUGAAAUUAAGCCCAUAAAAUGCAUCAACUAUAGACACCACCUGUCCUUUAGGGGUUAAAGUGAUGCCUCGUGUAAUCUCUGGACUUUACCCUGGUGGUGAGAUUUUAUACUGAUUUAUCAAUUGGUGUCCACCUCAUAAUCUUCGCUUUGCUUGCUCUCUCUCUCUCUCUCUCUCUCUCUCUCUCUCUCUCUCUCUCUCUCUCUCUCUCUCUCUCUCUCUCUCUCUCUCUCUCUCUCUCUCUCUCAGAUCCACAGUAUGUUCCCCCACAGUAUGUAUACAACCCAGUCACUAACUACAGCCUCUCAAAAAUUUUUUUGUCUGUAAAACAAGUUUGACUGACAGCAGCACUGUACAUUUAGCAUGUUUUAAUUGUCACAAAUAAUUUCUUAUAUCUGGAGCAGAUUUUAAUUUCUUACAUCUGGAGCAGAUUUUAAAGUUCAAUAGAUUGCAGCAUUGUACAAUUACUAUCCAUUUCAAACCCUAAGGCAUUAUUUUAUUUUUGCAGGUAUCUUCUAGACAAAUUAUUGAAUCAAUGCAACACUGGCAUGUGUGCCUUUUUAAGGUUACUCUUGGGUUUGUAAGCAAAGCUAGCAAGAACUGAGUAGACAUUAAGAAGAGGAAGGUUUUACCUGAUGUAGUAGUUAUGUGUAAAGGGAUAUAGGGCAGGAGGAAGGCAAGAGUGAGGGAGGGAAGACAGGAGUGGAGGGAGAAGCAACUACAUGUAAAACCUUCUCAUGUCUAAGUGUCUACUCAGCUCUGGUCAGCUUCACCUCAAAGCCAAGAAUAAACUCCUUGAUUAAGCACAUUGCAAUGGACUGUAGUGGUGUCAAACAAGCUGUGCCAACAAGUCAUACUGAUCCAACUGUUUGUUUAGAUGAGUGCAAAAAAAUUAUUCCUCAUAAGGUCUGAAGUGGAUAUUAUUAGCAUGUUUGAACUGCUUAUGUAUAUACCUACUGUAUGUAAUUAAUAAAUUUUGCAUUACAAUAA